rfam:Clostridium sp. SY8519 DNA, complete genome.
UGGGCUGACCGAAAGGUCUUUGGCCCACCGGCUGGCGGGGAUUUACCCC